rnacentral:rRNA from 1 species
GAUGAACGCUAGCUACAGGCUUAACACAUGCAAGUCGAGGGACCGGCGCACGGGUGAGUAACACGUAUCCCACCUGCCCUUUACUCGGGGAUAGCCUUUCGAAAGAAAGAUUAAUACCUGAUGUAAAGGAUGGGGAUGCGUUCAAUUAGGUUGUUGGUGAGGUAACGGCUCACCAAGCCUUCGAUGGAUAGGGGUGCUGAGAGGAAGGUCCCCCGCAUUGGAACUGAGACACGAUCCAAACUCGUACGGGAGGCAGCAGUGAGGAAUAUUGGGCGAGGGGCGUUAGCCUGAACCAGCCAAGUAGCGUGAAGGAUGAAGGCUUAUGGGUCGUAAUCUUCUUUUAUAUAAGAAUAUGUAUUAUAUGAAUAAGGAUCGGCUAACUCCGUGCCAGCCGCCGCGGUAAUAC